UACGUAGGGUGCAAGCGUUGUCCGGAAUUAUUGGGCGUAAAGAGCUCGUAGGCGGUUUGUCGCGUCGAAUGUGAAAACCCGGGGCUCAACCCCGGGCCUGCAUUCGAUACGGGCAGACUAGAGUUCGGGAGAGGGAUGCGGAAUUCCAGGUGUAGCGGUGAAAUGCGUAGAUAUCUGGAGGAACACCGGUGGCGAAGGCGGGUUGCUGGGCUGACACUGACGCUGAUGUGCGAAAGCUAGGGGAGCGAACGGG
rnacentral:rRNA from 1 species